UCGACGGUACAGGGAGCUUGCUCCGCUGACGAGUGGCGAACGGGUGAGUAAUAUAUCGGAACGUACCCAAGAGUGGGGGAUAACGUAGCGAAAGUUACGCUAAUACCGCAUACGAUCUAAGGAUGAAAGCAGGGGACCUUCGGGCCUUGUGCUCCUGGAGCGGCCGAUAUCUGAUUAGCUAGUUGGUGAGGUAAAGGCUCACCAAGGCGACGAUCAGUAGCUGGUCUGAGAGGACGACCAGCCACACUGGAACUGAGACACGGUCCAGACUCCUACGGGAGGCAGCAGUGGGGAAUUUUGGACAAUGGGCGCAAGCCUGAUCCAGCAAUGCCGCGUGAGUGAAGAAGGCCUUCGGGUUGUAAAGCUCUUUUGUCAGGGAAGAAACGGGAUUGGCUAAUAUCCAGUCCUAAUGACGGUACCUGAAGAAUAAGCACCGGCUAACUACGUGCCAGCAGCCGCGGUAAUACGUAGGGUGCAAGCGUUAAUCGGAAUUACUGGGCGUAAAGCGUGCGCAGGCGGUUUUGUAAGUCUGUCGUGAAAUCCCCGGGCUCAACCUGGGAAUUGCGAUGGAACGCAGGCUAGAAUCUGGCAGAGGGGGUAGAAUUCCACGUGUAGCAUGAAAUGCGUAAGAUUGAGGAACCCGAUGGCGAAGCACCCCCUGGGUCAAGAUUGACGCUCAUGCACGAAGCGGGGGAGCAAACAGGAUUAAUCCCUGGUAGUCCCGCCCUAACGAUGUCUACUAGUUGCGGGUUUUAUUAACUUGGUACGCAGCUAACGCGUGAAGUAGACCGCCUGGGGAGUACGGUCGCAAGAAUUAAACUCAAAGGAAUUGACGGGGACCCGCACAAGCGGUGGAUGAUGUGGAUUAAUUCGAUGCAACGCGAAAAAACCUUACCUACCCUUGACAUGUCAGGAAGACCGGAGGAAUGGUGCUGUGCCGGAAAGGGAACCAGAAGACGCGUGGCGCUUGUCUGUUCUCGUCUUGUGAUGUGAGGUGAUGUGUUGCAUCGAGCGCAAACCGCAUCCUUUGUGACCAGCUGGUUCAGAAGGGCACUCUAAGGAGACUGCCGGUGACAAACCGGAGGAAGGUGGGGAUGACGUCAAGUCAUCAUGGCCCUUAUGACCAGGGCUACACACGUGAUACAAUGGUAGGUACAGAGGGUCGCCAACCCGCGAGGGGGAGCUAAUCUCAAAAAACCGAUCGUAGUCCGGAUUGGAGUCUGCAACUCGACUACGUGAAGUCGGAAUCG
rnacentral:rRNA from 1 species